CACCGCGGUUAGACGAGAGGCCCUAGUUGAUAUUACAACGGCGUAAAGGGUGGUUAAGGAUAAAUAAAAAUAAAGUCAAAUGGCCCCUUGGCCGUCAUACGCUUCUAGGCGUCCGAAGCCCUAAUACGAAAGUAACUUUAAUGAACCCACCUGACCCCACGAAAGCUGAGGAACAAACUGGGAUUAGAUACCCCACUAUGCUCAGCCGUAAACUUAGACAUCCAACUACAAUAGAUGUCCGCCAGGGUACUACGAGCAUUAGCUUAAAACCCAAAGGACCUGACGGUGUCUCAGAUCCCCCUAGAGGAGCCUGUUCUAGAACCGAUAACCCCCGUUCAACCUCACCACUUCUAGCCAACCCAGCCUAUAUACCGCCGUCGUCAGCUUACCCUGUGAAGGUAAUAAAAGUAAGCAAAAUGGGUACAACCCAAAACGUCAGGUCGAGGUGUAGCGCAUGAAGUGGGAAGAAAUGGGCUACAUUUUCUAACAUAGAAUAUUACGAACAUGCACCAUGAAACAGUGCUUGAAGGAGGAUUUAGUAGUAAAAGGGAAAUAGAGUGUCCCUUUGAACCCGGCUCUGAGACGCGUACACACCGCCCGUCACUCUCCCCUGUCAAAAUGCACCAAAAAUAUCUAAUAUAAUAGCACUGACAAGGGGAGGCAAGUCGUAACACGGUAAGUGUACCGGAAGGUGCACUUGGAUCAAACCCAGGGUGUGGCUGAG
rnacentral:rRNA from 1 species